AAAUACAAUAAUCCUCCGCGAACCCUUCACCAGUACUGAAUUUUCCUAUAAUAUUAUAUAGGAGUAACAAUGCUAGAACCAGUAACAAGAAGCUGCUCUUCUCCAAAAUGCAAGCAAAAGCCUAAACGGACUAACCAUGGGCCUCUAACGUACUUGAACUUAAUAUAGUAACAUCACCAGAAAACACUAUAGAUUCUCACGUUAACCUUACACAAGAGCAUUACUGGAAAGAUUAAAAGAAAGAGAAGGAACUCGGCAAAUCCAAGCCCCGCCUGUUUACCAAAAACAUCGCCUCUUGACUAUUAUAAGAGGUCCAGCCUGCCCAGUGACACAACUGUUAAACGGCCGCGGUACUCUGACCGUGCGAAGGUAGCAUAAUCACUUGUUCUUUAAAUGGGGACUAGUAUCAACGGUGCCACGAGGGCUUCCCUGUCUCCUUUUUCCAAUCAGUGAAACUGAUCUCCCUGUGAAGAAGCAGGGAUACUGAUAUAAGACGAGAAGACCCCAUGGAGCUUUAAACUCAACAGACAACCCGACACAUAUUUUUUCAUCUUAGUCAUCAAAAAGCCAUGUUUGUUAGUUUUAGGUUGGGGUGACCAUGGAGUAAAACUUAACCUCCACGACGCACGGGACUUGCUACUCCCUUAUCCAAGAGCCACGACUCUAAGAAUUAAAAUAUUAACGUAAAAUGAUCCAAACAUUUGAUCAACGGACCAAGUUACCCUGGGGAUAACAGCGCAAUCCAUUUCGAGAGCUCCUAUCGACAAGUGGGUUUACGACCUCGAUGUUGGAUCAGGGUAUCCCAGUGGUGCAGCCGCUACUAAUGGUUUGUUUGUUCAACAAUUAAAACCCUACGUGAUCU
rnacentral:rRNA from 1 species